GUUUUUACCUGGCAGGCGAGAUUCCGUGAUCCAGAAGGUGGCUGUACCAGGGGGAAGCUUACCAGUUGCGCUCCAUGUGUGCCGAGCCCUGCCGCUUCCCCAAAUACCGAACACAUCGUUCGUGGUAUUAGGGACCUGUGUUCGUGCUUUCCUCUC
ensembl:snRNA LOC120098409 U1 spliceosomal RNA